rnacentral:tRNA from 1 species
AAUGCAGAGCCUGAAUAAAGGAUUAUCGUGAUAGGGUAAAACAUGUGAUCAACAAUUACCUGCAUUA